GACGAACGCUGGCGGCGUGCUUAACACAUGCAAGUCGAACGCUGAAGCUCAGCUUGCUGGGUGGAUGAGUGGCGAACGGGUGAGUAACACGUGAGUAACCUGCCCUCUUCUUUGGGAUAACGCCCGGAAACGGGUGCUAAUACUGGAUAUUCACUGAUUCUCGCAUGGGGGUUGGUGGAAAGGUUUUUUCUGGUGGGGGAUGGGCUCGCGGCCUAUCAGCUUGUUGGUGGGGUGAUGGCCUACCAAGGCUUUGACGGGUAGCCGGCCUGAGAGGGUGACCGGUCACAUUGGGACUGAGAUACGGCCCAGACUCCACGGGAGGCAGCAGUGGGGAAUAUUGCACAAUGGGCGAAAGCCUGAUGCAGCGACGCCGCGUGAGGGAUGGAGGCCUUCGGGUUGUAAACCUCUUUCACUCAUGGUCAAGCCGCAGCUUUGGGUUGUGGUGAGGGUAGUGGGUAAAGAAGCGCCGGCUAACUACGUG
rnacentral:rRNA from 1 species